GCUAAGCAUGGUGACAUGCACCUGUAGUCCCAGCUACUUGGGAGGUUGAGGCAGGAGGAUCGCUUGAGUCCAGGAGUUCUGGGCUGUAGUGCACUAUGCUGAUUGGGUGUCUGCACUAAGUUAGGCAUCAAUAUGGUGAUCUUGCAAGAGCAGGAGACCACCAGGUUGCCUAAGGAGGAGUGAACUGGCCCAGCACGGAAAUGGAGCAAGUCAAACCUCCCAUGCUGAUCAGUAGUGGAAUCACACCUGUGAAUAGCCACUGCACUCCAGCCUAGGCAACACGAGACCCUGUCUCUU
rfam:Homo sapiens chromosome 13, GRCh38 reference primary assembly.